rnacentral:rRNA from 1 species
GACGAACGCUGGCGGCGUGCCUAAUACAUGCAAGUAGAACGCUGAAGAGAGGAGCUUGCUCUUCUUGGAAGAGUUGCGAACGGGUGAGUAACGCGUAGGUAACCUGCCUUGUAGCGGGGGAUAACUAUUGGAAACGAUAGCUAAUACCGCAUAACAAUGGGUGACCCAUGUCAUUCAUUUGAAAGGGGCAACUGCUCCACUACAAGAUGGACCUGCGUUGUAUUAGCUAGUAGGUGAGGUAACGGCUCACCUAGGCGACGAUACAUAGCCGACCUGAGAGGGUGAUCGGCCACACUGGGACUGAGACACGGCCCAGACUCCUACGGGAGGCAGCAGUAGGGAAUCUUCGGCAAUGGGGGCAACCCUGACCGAGCAACGCCGCGUGAGUGAAGAAGGUUUUCGGAUCGUAAAGCUCUGUUGUAAGUCAAGAACGAGUGUGAGAGUGGAAAGUUCACACUGUGACGGUAGCUUACCAGAAAGGGACGGCUAACUACGUGCCAGCAGCCGCGGUAAUACGUAGGUCCCGAGCGUUGUCCGGAUUUAUUGGGCGUAAAGCGAGCGCAGGCGGUUUGAUAAGUCUGAAGUUAAAGGCUGUGGCUCAACCAUAGUUCGCUUUGGAAACUGUCAAACUUGAGUGCAGAAAGGGAGAGUGGAAUUCCAUGUGUAGCGGUGAAAUGCGUAGAUAUAUGGAGGAACACCGGUGGCGGAAGCGGCUCUCUGGUCUGUAACUGACGCUGAGGCUCGAAAGCGUGGGGAGCAAACAGG